GAUUAGAUACCGUCGUAGUCUUAACUAUAAACUAUGCCGACCAGGGAUAUGAGUUGUUAUGAAUAAUUUUUAAUUAUUCAAUUUCCUCUUGUGGACCUUGUGAGAAAUCAUAAGUUUUUGGGUUCUGGGGGGAGUAUGGUCGCAAGGCUGAAACUUAAAGGAAUUGACGGAGGGGCACCACCAGGAGUGGAGCGUGCGGCUUAAUUUGACUCAACACGGGAAAACUUACCAGGUCCAGACAUUAGAAGGAUUGACAGAUUGAUAGCUCUUUCAUGAUUUAAUGGGUGGUGGUGCAUGGCCGUUCUUAGUUGGUGGAGUGAUUUGUCUGGUUAAUUCCGAUAACGAACGAGACCUUUACCAUACUAAAUAGUUUGAUUUAUUCAUUUAUGAAUAGAUUUAUUUUAUUAAACUUCUUAGAGGGACUAUUGGUUCUUAAACCAAAGGAAGUAAAGGCGAUAACAGGUCUGUGAUGCCCUUAGAUGUUCUGGGCUGCACGCGCGCUACAAUGAUAAACUCAACGAGUAUUUAAUAUUUAUUUAUUAUAUUGCUGUAUUGGAAAAUAUGGCUAAUCUUAAACGUUUAUCGUGCUUGGGAUAGAUGAUUGCAAUUAUUUAUCUUGAACCAGGAAUUCCUAGUAAUCGUAUAUCAUCAGUGUGCGAUGAUUACGUCCCUGCCCCUUGUACACACCGCCCGUCGCUGCUACCGAUUGGAUGAUCCGGUGAAAUCCUCGGAUAAUGAUAAAUACUUUACUUUUUGUAAAGUUUAUCGUUAGAAGUUGAUUAAACCUUAUCAUCUAGAGGAAGCAAAAGUCGUAACAAGGUUUCCGUAGGUGAACCUGCAGAAGGAUCA
rnacentral:rRNA from 1 species